UGAGAGUGGAAGAGUUGGAGAAGUCGACAAAUGAACUGCAUGGUCAAGAAGCCGAGCCCCCCCCCCCAUUCUCUCCCCUCGCAUUCUUCCAUGCGACCGCCAUCUCCAGCUUUGAACGGAGAAAAAACGAACCCCAGACAGAGAGAAAGAGAGCUGAGAUGACCUUUUAGAAUGUAGAUGGAAGAACCACCGAGACUAUGAAACCCCAUUCCCCCAGCUCGGCCGAACGAUCCGACGAGUUAAGUCUCAACAUGGCUCCAGCAGGGGCGGCGGUGGCGGGGGAGGUUCGAGGAGGGGGAAAGGCCGUGAACGGGGGAAAGCGGAGCAGAAGGAAGGGACGGGGGCGCUCGGCUUAUCUCCGUCGGCUGAGUUGCUUCAAGCCCGCAGCCGAUCCGCCGGCGGCGGGUGGCGGCGGAGAUCGGAACUUGGACAAAGGAGACGACGGGGAAAGGGAGCGGCGGAUCCCAACGCAUCUGGUGGUGACGGUGAAUGGCAUCAUCGGAAGUGCUGCAAAUUGGACAUUUGCUGCAAAACAGUUUGUGAAGAAAUAUCCCGAUGAUGUUGUUGUCCAUUGCAGUGAAUGUAAUUACUCAACCCUCACAUUUGAUGGUAUCGACGUAAUGGGAGAGAGACUAGCAGAAGAGGUCAUAUCAGCUAUUGCACGCAGACCGGAGCUUCAAAAGAUCUCCUUUGUUGGGCAUUCACUAGGUGGCUUGAUUGCAAGAUAUGCAAUUGGCAUAUUAUAUGGAAAAGAUGUGCCAAGGAAUCCUCCAGAGGAAAAUGGUGGCUGUAAAACUUAUGCAUCUGGAACUCAAUGCAUGGAAGAAAAAUUAAAAGGAAAAAUUGCUGGACUGGAGCCGAUGAAUUUUAUAACUUUUGCAACACCUCACCUUGGCUCAAGAUUGCAUAAACAGAUCCCAAUACUCCGUGGCUCCUAUGCGCUAGAAAAGAUGGCAUAUCAUAUUUCAUGGAUUAUUAGAAGAACAGGAAAGCAUUUAUUCCUUAAAGACCAUGAUGACGGAAAGCCUCCUCUUCUCCUCCGGAUGGUCAGUGACUGUGGAGAUCUCAAAUUCAUGUCUGCUUUGCAAUCUUUCAAGCGACGUGUUGCGUACUCAAAUGCUUGUUAUGACUUUAUUGUUGGCUGGAAGACAUCUUCGAUACGUCAUCAAGAUGAGCUUCCCAAGCGUGAAAGUUUCACAAAGAGUGGGAAAUAUCCACAUGUGGUCUAUGUGGAGAAACCCCAAACUGCUAUUGUGCAGCAGGAAGACUUCUCGGAGAUGAUGAUUUCUCAACCAAAAUCUACGAGCGAGAUGGAAGUUCUUGGAUUUCUUUUAUAUCAUUGUCACCAGGAGGGCAGGACCCACUAUGGUAGAAAAGUCCAGUUGCUAGUCGAGUGUUAGUCAUAGUGCCAAAAACAUCAAAGCAUGUGCUUCACAUGAUCCAAGUUUUUGGAUGCCAAUUAUUCAAAAUCAAAAGGAGAGGAAAAGAAACCUAAAUCAAACCGUGCAGAAGAAGAGAAAUCCGCAAUCAAGCCAUGGAUGGAGAAGAAGAAAUCCCCAAUCAAAGUAUGGAUGGACAAGAAGAAAUUCCCAAUCAAGCUACAGGUGGAGAAAAAGAAAUCCCCAAUCAAGCUGUGGGUGAAGAAGAAAUCUGGGGAAGAAAGAAAGGGAGGGUUGUAGAGGGAGGAGACCAUGGAGGGUUUCUAAUCAAGUUCUUCCAAGUACUCCUUCCGAACUAUUGAUUUUUGCCAUAGUGGAACUAAAUCACCUUUGAGGACCUAAUGGACCACCAAAAAUUCUGGCCGUGUUUCUUUAGAUGCGAGGCAAUGAUCAAAGGUUUAACCAGAAUUCCCUGGGAAAGAGUAGAUAUCAGCUUCCAAAAAAGUAUACAAAAAAUUUUUGCUCACUGUACUAUUCAGGUAAAUACAUACUUCAUAAAUUCAGAUGGUGCAGAUGUGAUCUUUCACAUGAUCGACAAUUUUCUUUUAUAAUGAACAGUCUCAGCCAUUUCUAAUCUACAAAGGUGCAGUUUCUCCAAUUUCCUAAAUUAAGUGGAAGGGAGAGAAAGGAUUCAUGCAGCCAACUCCAACUAGUUUAGCAUUAAGGCUUAGUUCAGUUGAGUUGUAGUUUCUCCAAUAUGAGAUGGUCAUCCAUGUAUUUAGAUCUAAGAUUUUGCAACUAGAUUUAAGAAGCAUUUGUGAAAACUUUUUUGAGUGCGGUGUCAAAACAGGCCAUGUACAAGUGUCUGCAUCCUGGUCAAGGGAAGGAAGGGAACGUAGAGAACUGUCCCAAAGGUGCACUCUUAGAAGGCCUUGAAUACUUGCACAAUUAAUGCAAAUUAUAAAAGUUGUAUAGACUUCUUGUAUUUUUGUUGGAAAUGUAUAAGUCUCAAGUUUUUUAAUAUACAUCCCAUUUUUAUG